AACACUUGUGGGAGCCGAGCUUGCUCGCGAUAGCGGCGGAUCAGUUGAAGGUUGUCAACUGACACACCGCUAUCGCGAGCAAGCUCGGCUCCCACA
rnacentral:misc_RNA from 1 species